UUCCAGUCUCAUGGCCUUUCCAAGCGUGA
rnacentral:piRNA from 1 species